ensembl:lncRNA
AGUCUUAGUAGCUGUUGUAGUUCCAGCAUCUGUAGGAUUUAGUGUAUGCGAGAAAGCUCAAAUCUUUCACACAAAUCUUAAUACCAUCACGGCGAGCAGUUUAGUCUCCCACUUAUUUGCAGCGACAGUGAGAUUGAUACAGAAAUCUUAAAGCUCCAUUCUUGAAAAGACUAAAGCAUUUUCACACUCUGAUUUUAACUCGUUAACGAUGUUGUGCAGCAUUAAGAUCAUCUUCAACGUAACGAGUAGAUGCAAGACGUGCUGCACAAGCUGAAGUCUCCCAAGAGCCUCACAGAAACGAGCGCCUCGCUGGCUCUGCAGACAGACGGCGUUUCAGAGAUGGAUCCUGAUCCGGAGCCUGCAGGCACACGGGUCGAUCCGCCACACCUCUGCUUAUUAAUCUACAUCGCAUGUGGGACACAGGACAUCGUUUUUUUCUCCAUUUAAUUAGAGACAACCAACUCCAGGACUCUCGCCGGCGAAAAGACCAAGAUCAGGAAGGGUGAUGGUGAUGAAUGUGCAAGCACAUUUGUCAAAGUUGUCUGCAGUUGAUUGGUUAGGAAGUGGCCUCGGAAGGUGGAGGAAACAAACUGAUUGACUGCUUCGUUUGGGUGCAUCUGCGCUGACGUGAGCGAGGAAGGUGGAGGCGGCCUUCCGGGUCGAAUGUCUGGAAUCUUAAUUUAAUUUGCGUUGUUCAUCUGUCGGAGUGACUGCUGUGGACUCUCACUCAGCCUUGUGAUUAAAUAAAACGACUCCCCACCCCCCGCCACGCAGAGAGACUCUCGCAGCCGGGCCUGGAUGUGAUGCAGCACGAUGUGUCUUGUUUCACCUCCGUGCCACCCAGGUGCUUCGCUCUGAGGGAAAUGAGGCAGUGCAGAUGGGUUCACACGGGCCCCGCAGACACCUGAUUGAUGCAAACCGCUGUUCUCUUUUUUUUUUUUUUUUUUUUUGUUUGUUGAUCCCACAGAGCAUCUCAUAAAUCACCCGGUGCAGCCGUCUGCAGGAACCAC